GCUUGCGAUGCUGUGAGAAGUUCAUUGAACCUUAUCAUUUAGAGGAAGGAGAAGUCGUAACAAGGUUUCCGUAGGUGAACCUGCGGAAGGAUCAUUG
rnacentral:rRNA from 1 species